UGCGUAGGCGGAUUAAUAAGUCAGUGGUGAAAACCUGCAGCUUAACUGUAGAACUGCCAUUGAUACUGUUAGUCUUGAGUACGGUCAAGGUAGGCGGAAUGUGUAAUGUAGCGGUGAAAUGCUUAGAUAUUACACAGAACACCGAUUGCGAAGGCAGCUUACUGGACCAUUACUGACGCUGGGGCACGAAAGCGUGGGUAGCAAACAGGAUUAGAUACCCUGGUAGUCC
rnacentral:rRNA from 1 species